rnacentral:rRNA from 1 species
GCUAUACAUGCAAGUCGAGCGAACGGAUAAGGAGCUUGCUCCUUUGAAGUUAGCGGCGGACGGGUGAGUAACACGUGGGUAACCUACCUAUAAGACUGGGAUAACUUCGGGAAACCGGAGCUAAUACCGGAUAACAUUUAGAACCGCAUGGUUCUAAAGUGAAAGAUGGUUUUGCUAUCACUUAUAGAUGGACCCGCGCCGUAUUAGCUAGUUGGUAAGGUAACGGCUUACCAAGGCGACGAUACGUAGCCGACCUGAGAGGGUGAUCGGCCACACUGGAACUGAGACACGGUCCAGACUCCUACGGGAGGCAGCAGUAGGGAAUCUUCCGCAAUGGGCGAAAGCCUGACGGAGCAACGCCGCGUGAGUGAUGAAGGGUUUCGGCUCGUAAAACUCUGUUAUUAGGGAAGAACAAAUGUGUAAGUAACUGUGCACAUCUUGACGGUACCUAAUCAGAAAGCCACGGCUAACUACGUGCCAGCAGCCGCGGUAAUACGUAGGUGGCAAGCGUUAUCCGGAAUUAUUGGGCGUAAAGCGCGCGUAGGCGGUUUCUUAAGUCUGAUGUGAAAGCCCACGGCUCAACCGUGGAGGGUCAUUGGAAACUGGGAAACUUGAGUGCAGAAGAGGAAAGUGGAAUUCCAUGUGUAGCGGUGAAAUGCGCAGAGAUAUGGAGGAACACCAGUGGCGAAGGCGACUUUCUGGUCUGUAACUGACGCUGAUGUGCGAAAGCGUGGGGAUCAAACAGGAUUAGAUACCCUGGUAGUCCACGCCGUAAACGAUGAGUGCUAAGUGUUA